UAAAGGUUUGGUCCCAGCCUUUCUAUUAGCUGUUUAUAAACUUACACAUGCAAGCAUCAACAAACCAGUGAGAAUGCCCUUAAAACCUUUCGCAGGAAAAAAGGAGCCGACAUCAAGCACGCAAAUUGCAGCUAAAAACGUCUUGCCCAACCACACCCCCACGGGAUACAGCAGUGAUAAACAUUAAGCAAUGAACGAAAGUUUGACUAAGUUAUAUAAAUAGAGGGUUGGUAAAUUUCGUGCCAGCCACCGCGGUCAUACGGUUAACCCUAGCUAAUAGGCUCAACGGUGUAAAGAGUGUAAAUUGACUCACCAAAAAUAAAUGAAGAUAAGAUAAAUUUAAGAUGUAUAAACCUCCAAAUUUACAAAAACUCAACAACGAAAGUGUCUUCAAUUAUUUAUAACAUACACGAUAGCUAGAACCUAAACUGGGAUUAGAUACCCCAUUAUAUCUAGCCAUAAACAUAAAUAAUCCACAACAAGAUUAUUCACCAGAGAACUACGGGCCACAGCCUAAAACUCAAAGGACUUGGCGGUGCUUCACAUCCACCUAGAGGAGCCUGUUCUAUAAUCGAUAAACCCCGAUCCACCUCACCAACCCUUGCUAAUUCAGUCUAUAUACCGCCAUCUUCAGCAAACCCUAAUUAAGGUACAUAAGUAAGCAUAAUAAUCUUUCAUAAAAACGUUAGGUCAAGGUGUAACCUAUGGGUUGGGAAGCAAUGGGCUACAUUUUUUAUUUAAAAACAUAACGGAACGUCUUAAUGAAAUUUAAGAUUAAAGGAGGAUUUAGCAGUAAAUUAAGAGUAGAGAGCUUAAUUGAAUUAGGCCAUGAAGCACGUACACACCGCCCGUCACCCUCCUCAAAUGUUAAAAAGUAAAAUAUAAUUUAAACCUUACCAAAAUACACUAGAGGAGACAAGUCGUAACAAGGUAAGUAUACUGGAAAGUGUACUUGGAUGAUAC
rnacentral:ncRNA from 1 species